GGGGCCUUAGCUCAGCUGGGAGAGCGCCUGCUUUGCACGCAGGAGGUCAUCGGUUCGAUCCCGAUAGGCUCCACCA
rnacentral:tRNA from 67 species